UACGUAGGGGGCAAGCGUUGUCCGGAUUCAUUGGGCGUAAAGAGCGUGUAGGCGGCCAGGUAGGUCGGUUGUGAAAACUGGAGGCUCAACCUUCAGAGGUCGACCGAAACCAUCUGGCUAGAGUCCGGGAGAGGAGAGUGGAAUUCCUGGUGUAGCGGUGAAAUGCGUAGAUAUCUGGAGGAACACCGGUGGCGAAGGCGGCAUCCUGGACCGACACUGACGCUGAGGAGCGAAAGCCAGGGGAGCAAACGGG
rnacentral:rRNA from 1 species